rnacentral:rRNA from 1 species
CUGACUCAGGAUGAACGCUAGCGGCAGGCUUAACACAUGCAAGUCGAGGGGCAUCGGGAGUAGCAAUACUUGCCGGCGACCGGCGCAAGGGUGCGUAACGCGUGAGCAACAUGCCCGUAUCAGGGGGAUAAUCCAUGGAAACGUGGUCUAAUACCCCAUAGUAAUUAUGUAAGGCAUCUUAUAUAAUUUAAAGCUUUGGUGGAUACGGAUUGGCUCACGUGACAUUAGCUGGAUGGUAAGGUAACGGCUUACCAUGGCUACGAUGUCUAGGGGUUCUGAGAGGAAGGUCCCCCCACACUGGAACUGAGACACGGUCCAGACUCCUACGGGAGGCAGCAGUGAGGAAUAUUGGACAAUGGAUGGAAUCUGAUCCAGCCAUGCCGCGUGCAGGAAAGACGGCCCUAUGGGUUGUAAACUGCUUUUGUAUGGGAGCAAUAAGGGCUACGUGUAGUCCGAUGAGAGUACCAUACGAAUAAGCACCGGCUAACUCCGUGCCAGCAGCCGC